rnacentral:rRNA from 1 species
UACAGAGGGUGCAAGCGUUGUUCGGAAUCAUUGGGCGUAAAGGGCGUGUAGGCGGUUUGUUAAGUCAUGUGUGAAAUCCCUCGGCUCAACCGGGGAACGACGCAUGAAACUGGCAAGCUAGAGUACCAAAGAGGGGGGUGGAAUUCCCGGUGUAGCGGUGAAAUGCGUAGAGAUCGGGAGGAACACCGGUGGCGAAGGCGGGUCUCUGGGCAAUUCCUGACGCUGAGGCGCGAAAGCGUGGGGAGCAAACGGG